GAUGAAUAACGUAGUGAAAUGCGAUAAGUAAUGUGAAUUGCAGAAUUCAGUGAAUCAUCGAAUCUUUGAACGCACAUUGCGCCCGCCAGUAUUCUGGCGGGCAUGCCUGUUCGAGCGUCAUUUCAACCAUCAAGCCCCAGGCUUGUGUUGGAGCCCUGCGGCUGCCGCAGCCUCCCAAAACCAGAGGCGGGCUCGCUAUCACACCGAGUGCAGUAGUUUACUCUUCGCUCAGGGCGUGUGGCGGGUGCUAGCCGUAAAACCCCCGACUUCUCAAGGUUGACCUCGGAUCAGGUAGGAAUACCCGCUGAACUUAAGCAUAUCAAUAAGCGGAGGA
rnacentral:misc_RNA from 1 species